CAGGGAGACAACAAAAUGUUUAAUAUUAUUAUUUUGUCACCUUAGGUCGAUCGGUAUCUCACAUUUUUAAUUUAUUAAGAAUUUCAUUUCCUAAGUUUUUCUAGGUCACACCCAUUAUUUUUCCUGGGCCAUUAGCUCAGGUGGUUAGAGCGCACCCCUGAUAAGGGUGAGGUCCCUGGUUCAAGUCCAGGAUGGCCCAUAUCUCUAUGUUGGGGGUAUAGCUCAGUUGGUAGAGCGCCUGCUUUGCAAGCAGGAUGUCAGCGGUUCGAGUCCGCUUACCUCCACUGAUCACCACCUCUUCCAUAAUCGGUAGAAAGGAAAUUUUUUGAGUUGUGAUCAAAUUCUGAAAGAAUCUAGCUUCCUAAUGAAAUCAUUAAGAUGCUGGACUCAUUGAAUUAAUUUCAUUGUUUUCAGAGAACCUUGACAACUGCAUAGAUUAUUUUUAAAGACAAUAAGCAUCUUUAAUGAUGCAGAUUUAUUAUUUGUGCAAAUGCAUUAAUAACAAUUCUAUUAAGCUGAUGCUUCAAUAUUUGAAGUUAUU
rnacentral:tRNA from 1 species